GGUAACAGGAAGAAGCUUGCUUCUUUGCUGACGAGUGGCGGACGGGUGAGUAAUGUCUGGGAAACUGCCUGAUGGAGGGGGAUAACUACUGGAAACGGUAGCUAAUACCGCAUAACGUCGCAAGACCAAAGAGGGGGACCUUCGGGCCUCUUGCCAUCGGAUGUGCCCAGAUGGGAUUAGCUAGUAGGUGGGGUAACGGCUCACCUAGGCGACGAUCCCUAGCUGGUCUGAGAGGAUGACCAGCCACACUGGAACUGAGACACGGUCCAGACUCCUACGGGAGGCAGCAGUGGGGAAUAUUGCACAAUGGGCGCAAGCCUGAUGCAGCCAUGCCGCGUGUAUGAAGAAGGCCUUCGGGUUGUAAAGUACUUUCAGCGGGGAGGAAGGGAGUAAAGUUAAUACCUUUGCUCAUUGACGUUACCCGCAGAAGAAGCACCGGCUAACUCCGUGCCAGCAGCCGCGGUAAUACGGAGGGUGCAAGCGUUAAUCGGAAUUACUGGGCGUAAAGCGCACGCAGGCGGUUUGUUAAGUCAGAUGUGAAAUCCCCGGGCUCAACCUGGGAACUGCAUCUGAUACUGGCAAGCUUGAGUCUCGUAGAGGGGGGUAGAAUUCCAGGUGUAGCGGUGAAAUGCGUAGAGAUCUGGAGGAAUACCGGUGGCGAA
rnacentral:rRNA from 1 species